rnacentral:lncRNA from 1 species
UUUUCCAUGUUAAAUAAAUUAGAGAAACCAGCUUAUUCUCAAAUUGUCUUCUACAGGUGUUGCAAACUGGACCAGGUUCUCAGCAGCAUACAGGGCAGACUUUCACAGAAUGUACACUCUGUAUACGUGUAGAGAGUGCAGGGUGACGUUCAAAAACUGCAUACCAGGCUAUGCAGGAAAUGGGAAAAGAGGGGUGCUGCAGGGCAUCUAUUCCGAGAACUCGCACCCUGGCUUCUGCUCUCACUUUUGCCAGCUCUGUGCAGGGUUUUCCCAAUAAAUGACACUCAACGAACCUGGGAUCUGACUGACACCUUGUCGCCUUCUACAUUACCACCCACCACCUGGGAUGCACCUUAUAACAUCCACAAACCAUCAUCCCUCAUGCACACCUUACACUACUGAUUCCACUGAUAUCCACACUCCACACCUUGUUCAUGUUAAGUUCAGUUCAUUGCCUUUUGUUAAUAAAUUACUGUUCUUAAACCGUUCAU